rnacentral:rRNA from 1 species
UACGUAGGGCGCGAGCGUGUCCGGAAUUAUUGGGCGUAAAGAGCUCGUAGGCGGCUUGUCACGUCGGGUGUGAAAGACCGGGGCUUAACUCCGGUUCUGCAUUCGAUACGGGCUAGCUAGAGUGUGGUAGGGGAGAUCGGAAUUCCUGGUGUAGCGGUGAAAUGCGCAGAUAUCAGGAGGAACACCGGUGGCGAAGGCGGAUCUCUGGGCCAUUACUGACGCUGAGGAGCGAAAGCGUGGGGAGCGAACAGG